AGUCACAGAAACCCCAAGUUCCACUUCCCCUAGACAGCACUGGAAGACGCAAGAUCACUGCCCUAGUAGAGAAAUGGGCACCAAGCUCUUCUCCUGGGUGACCUUCAGUCUCUUGUGGGCAGGGCAUAUAGAGGCUGGAAUCACCCAAAGCCCAAGAUUCAAGGUCACAAAGGCCAAAGAAAAGGUGACUUUGAAAUGCCAGCAGACCAACAAACAUGACUACAUGUACUGGUAUCGACAAGACCCAGGUCAUGGACUGAGGCUGAUCCAUUACUCAUAUGGUAUUAAGUACCUAGAACCAGGAGAAUUUCCCAAAGGAUACAAUGUCUCCAGAGAAAACACAGAGGACUUUCCCCUCACUCUGGACUCAGCCACCCUGACCCAGUCGUCUGUGUACUUUUGUGCCAGCAGUGAUUCCACAGCACUGCAUAGCCACCUCCUCUCUGUACAUGAAGGUGAAGACAGAGAAUGUGUGCAGAUCUAUACUGUGAGCUCCAGGAAUUUAAUGCAGCACUACAAUAGUGACACUCAGAGCGGCCUUCCAUGGCAGUGUCCAAAUAUAACCCAGCUCUCAGGAUCUCAGUCCAAUCUCUGUAGCUCUCAGAACGUGCUGCUGCCCUUGCUCUUCCUGCAAGCUUGUAUGUCAGCUCCCAGCUAA